GGGAGCUCAUUGAGGCCUUCGGUGAAAAAGCAAAUACUUCCAGAUAAAAACUAGAAAGAAGCAAUCUGAGAAAUGGCUUUGUGAUGUUUUCAUUCAUCUCAUGGAGAAUCUGCAAGAGAAUAUUUGGGAGUGCAUUGAGGCCUAAGGUGAAAAAGUGAGUAUUUCCACAUGAAAACCAUAAAGAAGCUACCUGAAAAACUGCUUCAUGAUGUGUGCAUUCAUCUCACAGAGUUAAACCUUUCUUUUGAUUCAGUAGUUUGGAAACACUGUUUAAGUGGAAUCCUAGAAAGGACAUUUGAGAAAGCACUGAGGCCUAUGGUGAAAAAGCGAAUAUCCCCAGAUGAAAACUAGCAAGAAGCUAUCUGAGAAACUGUUUUGUGAUGUGUGGAUUUAUCUCACAGAGUUAAAUCUUUCUUUUAAUUCAGCAGUUUGGAAACACUGUUUUUGUAUAAUAUAUAAAGGACAUUUGGGAGCACAUUGACUCUUUUGGUGAAAAAGCUAAUAUCUUCAGAUAAAACCUUGAAAGAAGCUAUCUGAGAAACUGCUUUGUGAUGUAUUCAUUCAUCUCACAGAGUUAAAACUUCUUUUGAUUCAUCAGUUUGGAAACACUAUUUUUGUAGAAUCUGUGUAAUGACAUUAAGGAACGCAUUGAGGCCUAUUGUGAAAAAGCUAAUAUCUUCAGAUAAAAACUUCAAAGAGACGAGACUAUCUGAGAAACUGCCUUUUGAUGUGUUCACUCACCUAACAGAGUUAAACCUUUCUUUUGAUUCAGCAGUUUGGAAACACUGUUUUUGAAGAAUCUGCAAAAGAACAUUUGGGAGCUAAUUGAGGUCAAUGGUGAAAAAGGAAAUAUCCACAGAAAAAAAACAAGAAAGAAGCUGUCUGUGAAACUAAUUUGUGAUGUGUGGAUUCAUCUCACAGGGUUAAAAAUAUCUUUUCAUUCGGCAGUUUGGAAACACUGUUUCUGUUAAAUUUGCAAAAGGACAGUUGGGAGCUCAUUGAAGUCAAUGGUGAAAAAGCGAAUAUCCCCAGAGCAAAACUAGAAGGAAGCUAUCU
rnacentral:lncRNA from 10 species